rnacentral:rRNA from 1 species
CUUACUUUUACGAGGAGGAUAGCAGUUCGAAAGGACUAUUAAUACUCCAUAGGUUUAUAAACUAAAUCAAAGAGGCUCCCUCGGGGGCCUCGCGUGAAAAUAGGAAUAUGUCCUAUUAGGUAGUUGGUGGGGUAAAGGCCCACCAAGCCAGUGAUGGGUAGCUGGACUGAGAGGUUGAACAGCCGCAAUGGGAUUGAGAUAUGGCCCAUAUUCCUACGGGAAGCAGCAGUGAGGAAUUUUUCACAAUGGACGAAAGUCUGAUGGAGCAAUACCACGUGAACGAUGAAGGUCUUCUGAUUGUAAAGUUCUUUUAUUUAGGAAAAAAAGCGCGCUAGGAAAUGAGCGCGCCUUGAUGGUACUAAUUGAAUAAGUGACAGCUAACUAUGUGCCAGCAGCUGCGGUAAAACAUAGGUCACGAGCAUUAUCCGGAUUUAUUGGGCGUAAAGGAAGCGUAGGUGGGGAGGUUGAUCCAUUGUUAAAGGCAUUUGCUUAACAAAUGUGUGCGAUGGAGAUCGCCUCCCUAGAGUUAAUCAGGGGGUACUGGAAUUCAAUGUGUAGCGGUGGAAUGCGUAGAUAUAUUGAGGAACACCAGAGGCUAAGGCGAGUACCUAGGAUAUAACUGACACUGAGGCUUGAAAGCGUGGGGAGCAAAUGGGAUUAGAUACCCCAGUAGUCCACGCCGUAAACGAUGGGCAUUAGGUAUUUGACAUCUAGUCGAGUGCUGUAGCUAACGCGUUAAAUGCCCCGCCUGGGUAGUAUAUAUGCAAAUAUGAAACUCAAAGAAAUUGACGGGGACCUG